CCACUAAGUCACCACAUUCCAUUGUUAUUUUAUAGAAACAAAAAUUAUUUAUACUUAUUAAUAUUAUAUUAGUAUCUUAAACUAAUUGUUCUUAUUCUACACCGUAGUAGUAAUUGCAGCUCAUGACUCACUUCAAACAAAAUUGAAACCCUAAACCCUCUUCACUGUUACGGAGCCGCUCCACCCAUUGCGACACCAAAUCGAUCAAAGGGAAACCAUUUUUUACUCUCCAAUUCAAGAGAUUCCUUUUCAUUCGGGAAGGAGAUAGUGACAUUGAAGGCGGCGGAGAUGACGGCUUUCGUUCUCCGAUUGGCCGUAAGUAUCGUUCCGUGUUGGCUAACGAUCAUGCUCUACUUGAGAUGUCUUCCAUAUAUCCACUAUCUUCUUCUUCCUCAACAUUUCCAGAUCAACCUCAUAAUCUCAGGAGCUUCGGAAGCAGGUUUUCUUUUAUCACGUUACGUUCUGCAAUUGUGUUGCGGCUCUGUGCUGUGUUGCAAUUGUAUUGGAUCAACUAUUCGUUCCUGUUUGGUAUUAGACAUGGAACUGAGUUGGAUCAUUGAGAAGUAUUCCUUCUCACAACUGGCCAUGCAGUGAUUGCAGUUCUAGGUUUCUUGGUAAAUUGCAGCUUGAGAUGAAUCUUACUGAUAAAAGCUAUAAAACAGCCAUUGAACUUGUUCCUCUGAGCUUAUUUGUUGUAAGAUUCAUAGUUUGGAAUAUAAUUAGCUCAUUAUUUCUGAUGGACUGAACUUACCUAACUUAUCAUUUAUUUUUCAUUUGUAGCUUGUCAUUUAGAUCACCUUUUGCCCUUUCAAUGUUUGCAAAAUAAGUUUGGAAUAUAUUUUCCGUGGUUUGUUUUUAGUUGUGGGGUUUCUGUGUUGCAGAUUGAGAAUUACAAUAACCCGUUUCUUGAUGUUAUGUCCAAAUAUGAUGAUGGGAGGGACCUAUCUGAUUAUGACUUCAACAAAGAUGAACUAGGCCCCCCACAUGAUGAUGUCGACGAAAGAAAACUUGCAUAUAGGUAUCAAGUUAUAGCUCAAAAAUACUUGCAGGAACAUGAGGAUCCUUAAACUACAAGGAUGGGAAAUGCAGUUUCUAUCUAAAAUAAUCGAGCUCAGGGACGCAAAACAAGGAACAGCGCGCUCUUUACCAAUAUGAUGAUAUCUAUUUAUUUGAUGAUCCUUUUAGUGGUGUGGAUGCUCAUACAGGAUCUCACCUUUUUAAGGUCAAGAAAGAUGGAAAAAUAACUCUAAGUGGAAAGUAUGCUGACAUACUUAACAUUGGAUGGCACUAGAAAACCUGUUGUUGAUUUAAGUAUUGUUGGAUAUGUUGUUUCAUUUAGUUCAUAAUUCAUACAUUGGUGUCCUAAUGUUAUUCUACUUCUUUAACUAUUUGCUUACCGAGUUAUGGUUGAUGGUUAUGUGGACAGCAGGUUGCAGGUUGCAUAUAUAGUUGUAGCUUUUCUACUUCUGUUUUCUUUAGAAAUUUUGAGCUUUUAUGUGACCACAAAAGUAACGAAAUAGCAAGAAAUACUACUCGGCCAUUGAUUGAAUGGUUUUCAUAUCCUCAGGCUUGUCUCUAAAAAUGGAGAAAUUUGAAUGAUUUUCUAUAAGUUAAAAAUAGUUUAUAAACAUCUCAUAUAAUGGAGGAUAUCUUUUUUUGUUGUGUCGGUGUAAUUUUUUACACUCUUAGCAUAGCACAAUGAAACCCUCAAAUCUCGGAACCAUUUCCAAGACUUUGGUUUCAUUAUCAAAGAAACCCUCAAGUCUUUCAAGUGACUCUCAAGAGGUUGAUAUUUUGAGAAGUCAAGUCCAUGCUUUAAAUGGAUCGUUGUACUUUUUUUCCUUUUGACUUGGUUGUAAUUUAGAUUGUUUUAUCAUUUUAAUUUGGUUGACAAAUGAUUAGUAGGAGCUUUGUUUAUUGAGUCAUUUUUAGUAACGUGACUAUGUAAGUACUUGUUACUUACAUUGUAGUAGAUUUUAUAGUAACUUAUUGUUCAAUGAAUUUGUCUUAUUUAAAUUCAAAUCAUUUUAAUUUAUAAUUUUAUUUUUAUAUUAUGGUUAUUUUAAUAUAUAAUUUAUAAUGUUCUAAAAAUUUAUCAAACUUUUUUUUAAUUUGAGAUAGAAAUUACCUGCGGAUUUACCUGCUGAUUGUUUCCUACGGAGUUAACUGCGGAACUUCCUGCCAAAAAUAUUACCCACGAAGGUUUUAUAACGUGUUUUUUGCAGAAAUUUUACUAAAAUCCGCAGGAAAACAGAGUAUUUCUAGUAGUGGUUCAACUUAUUAAGAAAUGGAGACAUCUUCUCUAUUCAUCAUAAAAAGUUAGGUAGUAUAUCUUGAACCAAUCACAAGAUUCCAUUUAAUUUUAACACAUUUAAUUAAUUAUAAAUAAUAUAAUUAUUUAAUGUUUCUAAGACAUUUUACA